GGCGGACGGCUGAGUAACGCGUAGGUGACCUACCCCGAAGUGGGGAAUAACUGCCCGAAAGGGUGGCUAAUACCGCAUGUGGUGAUGCGUUCAUUCGCAUCAGUAAAGCCGCAAGGCGCUUCGGGAGGGGCCUGCGUCCGAUUAGCUCGUUGGUGGGGUAACGGCUCACCAAGGCGACGAUCGGUAGGUGGUCUGAGAGGACGAUCACCCAGACUGGGACUGAGACACGGCCCAGACUCCUACGGGAGGCAGCAGUCGGGAAUUUUGCUCAAUGGGGGAAACCCUGAAGCAGCAACGCCGCGUGAGGGAUGAAGGCCUUCGGGUUGUAAACCUCUUUUCUCAGGGAAGAUGAUGACGGUACCUGAGGAAUAAGCCACGGCUAACUACGUGCCAGCCGCCGCGG
rnacentral:rRNA from 1 species